rnacentral:rRNA from 1 species
CUAACGUCCGUCGUGAAGAGGGAAACAACCCAGACCGCCAGCUAAGGUCCCAAAGUCAUGGUUAAGUGGGAAACGAUGUGGGAAGGCCCAGACAGCCAGGAUGUUGGCUUAGAAGCAGCCAUCAUUUAAAGAAAGCGUAAUAGCUCACUGGUCGAGUCGGCCUGCGCGGAAGAUGUAACGGGGCUAAACCAUGCACCGAAGCUGCGGCAGCGACGCUUAUGCGUUGUUGGGUAGGGGAGCGUUCUGUAAGCCUGUGAAGGUGUGCUGUGAGGUAUGCUGGAGGUAUCAGAAGUGCGAAUGCUGACAUAAGUAACGAUAAAGCGGGUGAAAAGCCCGCUCGCCGGAAGACCAAGGGUUCCUGUCCAACGUUAAUCGGGGCAGGGUGAGUCGACCCCUAAGGCGAGGCCGAAAGGCGUAGUCGAUGGGAAACAGGUUAAUAUUCCUGUACUUGGUGUUACUGCGAAGGGGGGACGGAGAAGGCUAUGUUGGCCGGGCGACGGUUGUCCCGGUUUAAGCGUGUAGGCUGGUUUUCCAGGCAAAUCCGGAAAAUCAAGGCCGAGGCGUGAUGACGAGGCACUACGGUGCUGAAGCAACAAAUGCCCUGCUUCCAGGAAAAGCCUCUAAGCAUCAGGUAACAUCAAAUCGUACCCCAAACCGACACAGGUGGUCAGGUAGAGAAUACCAAGGCGCUUGAGAGAACUCGGGUGAAGGAACUAGGCAAAAUGGUGCCGUAACUUCGGGAGAAGGCACGCUGAUACGUAGGUGAAGCGACUUGCUCGUGGAGCUGAAAUCAGUCGAAGAUACCAGCUGGCUGCAACUGUUUAUUAAAAACACAGCACUGUGCAAACACGAAAGUGGACGUAUACGGUGUGACGCCUGCCCGGUGCCGGAAGGUUAAUUGAUGGGGUUAGCGCAAGCGAAGCUCUUGAUCGAAGCCCCGGUAAACGGCGGCCGUAACUAUAACGGUCCUAAGGUAGCGAAAUUCCUUGUCGGGUAAGUUCCGACCUGCACGAAUGGCGUAAUGAUGGCCAGGCUGUCUCCACCCGAGACUCAGUGAAAUUGAACUCGCUGUGAAGAUGCAGUGUACCCGCGGCAAGACGGAAAGACCCCGUGAACCUUUACUAUAGCUUGACACUGAACAUUGAGCCUUGAUGUGUAGGAUAGGUGGGAGGCUUUGAAGUGUGGACGCCAGUCUGCAUGGAGCCGACCUUGAAAUACCACCCUUUAAUGUUUGAUGUUCUAACGUGGACCCGUGAUCCGGGUUGCGGACAGUGUCUGGUGGGUAGUUUGACUGGGGCGGUCUCCUCCUAAAGAGUAACGGAGGAGCACGAAGGUUGGCUAAUCCUGGUCGGACAUCAGGAGGUUAGUGCAAUGGCAUAAGCCAGCUUGACUGCGAGCGUGACGGCGCGAGCAGGUGCGAAAGCAGGUCAUAGUGAUCCGGUGGUUCUGAAUGGAAGGGCCAUCGCUCAACGGAUAAAAGGUACUCCGGGGAUAACAGGCUGAUACCGCCCAAGAGUUCAUAUCGACGGCGGUGUUUGGCACCUCGAUGUCGGCUCAUCACAUCCUGGGGCUGAAGUAGGUCCCAAGGGUAUGGCUGUUCGCCAUUUAAAGUGGUACGCGAGCUGGGUUUAGAACGUCGUGAGACAGUUCGGUCCCUAUCUGCCGUGGGCGCUGGAGAACUGAGGGGGGCUGCUCCUAGUACGAGAGGACCGGAGUGGACGCAUCACUGGUGUUCGGGUUGUCAUGCCAAUGGCACUGCCCGGUAGCUAAAUGCGGAAGAGAUAAGUGCUGAAAGCAUCUAAGCACGAAACUUGCCCCGAGAUGAGUUCUCCCUGACCCUUUAAGGGUCCUGAAGGAACGUUGAAGACGACGACGUUG